CUAACGAGCCGGCUGCGUGCUUUGUAUAAAAUUUUGAGAAUUUUACGAAAUGUGUCAGUGAAAAUAUUUCUUAAAAUUGACUGAAUUUAACCGUGAUUUGAUAAGCGCGAAUUCCCCACGGGACCUUUAAUUUUUGGCGCGAUAUCGAUUCCGCACUUAAAGUGAAAUCUUAAUAAGAUUUGUACCACACAUCAAAUUACCGAGCGUGGAUCUUUAUGCCGCAAUAAUACGGAUGAAUUUACAAUGAUGUCGAUGAGCUGCUGACUGUACCUAACUAAAUCCGGAAAAAGUGAGUCGAGGUAACCGCCAUAAAAAAUUCAAAGAUGACAAACGACGGGCCGCUCCCGACAAGUGGCCGACAUCAGUUUGGGAAGCCCUGGAGUUUGUUACAGCCGUUGUGACUGCGGCCCAACAAAAACACUUUGUGAAGUCGAUCAGCCGCGCUUCAUUUCCUGCUGGCCAGCAUUAUCGACACAGAUAAAUAUUUUGCGGGCCACUCCAUAAAUAUCCCUUAAUGGAUUCCACAGAAGGCGCGACGUUUAGGUUGUGAUGGAAUAGACACACAAACAAACAGAGAUGGAAACAAUAAUCGAGGUCCAAAGUUGACACGGAAGUGUUAAAACGCACAGACUGUAUCAAUAUCAACAGAUUAGCCGAGCAGAGCUGCCGAAAUCCGUCAAAAAGGCGGAAAAUACCAAAUGACGGGGAAUUUGUCGAAUCUAGAGUGUGUUCCUCCUGCUUCCUCUAAGUUACAGUUAGAACCCAUUUAGUUAGUUAUUGUGACAGUUCCUUUAAUUCUGAUUACUUGGUUUGGUAAAAUAGACCAAAUAUUCAAAAUAGCAAACAGGAAAGUAGAAUAAUUGUUUUGCAGGAACUCGUCAUUUCUGUCCAAUUCUUAAAAAAAUCUUUUUAGCUACCUGACAUCAAGGGAAGCGGUAUAGAUAGACAUUCAAAUUUGUUCUCUAUACA